rnacentral:rRNA from 1 species
UGGGGAAUAUUGCGCAAUGGGGGCAACCCUGACGCAGCCAUGCCGCGUGUGUGAAGAAGGCCUUCGGGUUGUAAAGCACUUUCAGCGGGGAGGAAAGGGUGUACGUUAAUAGCGUGCAUCUGUGACGUUACCCGCAGAAGAAGCACCGGCUAAUUCAGUGCCAGCAGCCGCGGUAAUACUGAAGGUGCAAGCGUUAAUCGGAAUUACUGGGCGUAAAGCGCGCGUAGGCGGCUUGGUCAGUGAGGUGUGAAAGCCCCGGGCUCAACCUGGGAAUUGCAUCUCAUACUGCCAGGCUAGAGUAUGGGAGAGGGUUGUGGAAUUCCACGUGUAGCGGUGAAAUGCGUAGAUAUGUGGAGGAACAUCAGUGGCGAAGGCGGCAGCCUGGCCCAAUACUGACGCUGAGGUGCGAAAGCGUGGGGAGCAAACAGGAUUAGAUACCCCCGUAGUCC